rnacentral:tRNA from 1 species
GCGACACUAGCUCAGUUGGUAGAGCGCAACCUUGCCAAGGUUGAGGAGACGGGAUCGGCACUCGUGUGUCCCUCAA